GACAUAGGGCGCAAGCGUUGUCCGGAUUUAUUGGGCGUAAAGAGCUCGUAGGCGCCUGUCGCGUCGACCGUGAAAACCCGCAGCUCAACUGCGGGCUUGCGGUCGAUACGGGCAGGCUCGAGUUCGGUAGGGGAGACUGGAAUUCCUGGUGUAGCGGUGAAAUGCGCAGAUAUCAGGAGGAACACCGGUGGCGAAGGCGGGUCUCUGGGCAACAACUGACGCUGAGGAGCGAAAGCGUGGGGAGCGAACAGG
rnacentral:rRNA from 1 species